UCCUACGGGGGGCAGCAGUGGGGAAUAUUGGACAAUGGGCGCAAGCCUGAUUCAGCCAUGCCGCGUGAGUGAUGAAGGCCCUAGGGUUGUAAAGCUCUUUCACCGGUGAAGAUAAUGACGGUAACCGGAGAAGAAGCCCCGGCUAACUUCGUGCCAGCAGCCGCGGUAAUACGAAGGGGGCUAGCGUUGUUCGGAAUUACUGGGCGUAAAGCGCACGUAGGCGGAUAUUUAAGUCAGGGGUGAAAUCCCGGGGCUCAACCCCGGAACUGCCUUUGAUACUGGGUAUCUAGAGUAUGGUAGAGGUAAGUGGAAUUCCGAGUGUAGAGGUGAAAUUCGUAGAUAUUCGGAGGAACACCAGUGGCGAAGGCGGCUUACUGGACCAUUACUGACGCUGAGGUGCGAAAGCGUGGGGAGCAAACAGGAUUAGAUACCCCGGUAGUCCCC
rnacentral:rRNA from 1 species